rnacentral:lncRNA from 1 species
UGUUUUUCAUUUUCAUCUUUUAAUUUCCUUGUUUAUUUCCAUUUUUUUUUUGACAUAAUCCCCACCCCCAAAACGAGAACGUAAAGAAACCUUUGUCCAAAGUCAAUACGGUUGCUUUGGUGAACAUGAACACUUCGCUAGGGUUUAAUGGUGCUAGUAUGGCUUUUCGAGAUCAAAGAUGUCCUCAGUUUCUACAUGAACCGAUGACAACAAUUGGGUUCUUAUUAGCUUGAAAUAUGUCAUCUUCCACUCUUUCCUUGAUUUCUUUGGAACUCAUCAAAUCGAAGCUCAGGUGAGCCAAUCUUUGCUUCAUAUUUUCCAUUUGCUUGUUCAAUUCGAAUUCUGGUAUAAGCUUCAAAACUCUUGUAGUUUUUUUGUUGAUAGGGGAGAUUACACCACAUCAGCAGUCAUCGACUUUAUUAUCUGUGUCUGCCAUCUAAUUCUUCUCCUGCGAUUUCAUCAACAUCAGGCACCGAUUUCUCAUUCUUCUUCUUGUUCUGAUUUCCUCUUUUCUUUUGCAAGUUUUUAAUGCUAUAUUAUUAUAUAGUUGUGUUAAUGUUGAAGAAUUAUGGUUAUAGAUUAUCACAGGGUUAAGUCUCUUGUUGUUGAGAUCAUUGAAACAAAGAUGAAGAGAAGGUGUUUGAUGAAAUGCUCAAAUGAAGAAAAAAAAUCAUUUUACAGUGGGAUUAAACUAUAUAUUCCAACUCUGUAGUGUCUACGUAUAUUUUGAACUAAAAUGAAGUUUGCAAUGAAUUUAGAGCUUGUAUGAUUUCUUUACAAAAUCACAUUUAGCUUCUAAUUUGACCUACCAAUCUGUAUUGUAUCUUUGAUAAAUUAGGAUUUGAAUAACCCAUUGAUACAAAAUCAGCCUCAACCCCUCUGUAAUGU